UUAAUUGAAGAGUUUGAUCAUGGCUCAGAUUGAACGCUGGCGGCAGGCCUAACACAUGCAAGUCGAGCGGUAACAGAAAAGAAGCUUGCUUCUUUGCUGACGAGCGGCGGACGGGUGAGUAAUGCCUGGGAAUAUACCCUGAUGUGGGGGAUAACUAUUGGAAACGAUAGCUAAUACCGCAUAAUCUCUUCGGAGCAAAGAGGGGGACCUUCGGGCCUC
rnacentral:rRNA from 1 species